rnacentral:rRNA from 1 species
UACUAGAGUAGCACUCGCAUAUCAAUAAGCGGAGGAAAAGAAACUAACAAGGAUUCCCCUAGUAACGGCGAGUGAAGCGGGAAGAGCUCAAAUUUGAAAUCUUAAAGGGUUUCCCUUUACGAAUUGUAGUUUAAAGAAGUGUUUUCUGUUGAGGUUUUGGUAAAAGUUCUUUGGAAUAGGACAUCAUAGAGGGUGAGAAUCCCGUAUUUGACCUUUACUUUCAACUUUGUGAUACACUUUCAAAGAGUCGGAUUGUUUGGGAAUGCAGUCCAAAAUGGGUGGUAAAUUUCAUCUAAAGCUAAAUAUUGGCGAGAGACCGAUAGCGAACAAGUACCGUGAGGGAAAGAUGAAAAGAACUUUGAAAAGAGAGUUAAACAGUACGUGAAAUUGUCAAAAGGGAAGCGUUUGACACCAGUGUUGUUUUUCUGAAAAUCAAUUAAAGAACUGUUUAUGCUAAGUUGUUUAGACUUUAUCAGCUAUCUGUUUAGUUUUGAGCUUUUCUUUAAUGCACUUUUCAGUUAACAAGUCAACAUCAAUUUCUUUUGCUGUAAAAAAAGCUUGAGGAAGGUGGCUUGAGAUUCGUCUUAAGUGUUUAUAGCCUCUUGCCUAUGCAGUCGGAGAGAUUGAGGUCUGCAGCGUAGAUCCUUCGGGGCUAAAUGCAUUUGUGCUAAGUUAUAGCAUUUUAUAGACAACUUGUUGACUAUGAUUUGUCUUGUAGCUUACUCGCUUAUGUUAUUUUACCUACGCUUAGGAUGUUGAGCGCAUGUCUCUCUCU